rnacentral:rRNA from 1 species
GACGUAGGGCGCAAGCGUUGUCCGGAUUUAUUGGGCGUAAAGAGCUCGUAGGCGGUUUGGCAAGUCGGGUGUGAAAACUCCGGGCUCAACUCGGAGACGCCACUCGAUACUGCCAUGACUCGAGUCCGGUAGGGGAGUGCGGAAUUCCUGGUGUAGCGGUGAAAUGCGCAGAUAUCAGGAGGAACACCGGUGGCGAAGGCGGCACUCUGGGCCGGUACUGACGCUGAGGAGCGAAAGCGUGGGGAGCGAACAGG